rnacentral:lncRNA from 1 species
AUUUUGCCUCACGUGUGUUCAGUUAACUUAAUGAGCUCUCUAUAGGGGUAGCUUUCUUGAGAGACCGUUGCUAAGGGCCAGUCACACGUUUCUCACUGUUGUGAUGGAAACGUGAUUAGAUGCUGAUCCCAGCUCGGCAGAAUUGGCUGGAGUGUCUGGUUAGAGUGGCCUCUUCUGCAGGAGCCUGUGGGAUCUCACGGUGCAACAUCUGCAACCUUGUGAUUUCAGCAAAUGGACAAGAGGUGGCAACAUGCCAGGAGGUGGUGGUUCAGGAGGACUUCAGGGCCAUGCAGUUUGAGGGCACAUGUCCACUUUAGCUGCUGUGCCUGAGCUCCACCUGUGGUGGGCACCCAGGAACAGGACCUCUGUGGCCCCUGCCCUCCUGGCACUGGAUGAGGAGGUGAGAACCGAGGCCCAGAGAAGUUACACAUGUCCAUGGUCACAUGACUGGGCCUGUCAGCACCUCCUAAGCAGGAAGCAUUCACCUCUGAAGAGAACCAAAGGCGGGGGAGGCUUUGUUGGUGAUGCAGCUGUCAUAUCCUAUUAGUGCACGGGUGGGUCUCAGCGAGCACAGGAGGUAUGUCAUUUAUAGACAGAAAUUGCAUAAUUAAGCUUGAUAGAAUUUUGACGCUUUCUUGGCAGCGCAAUUUGUUCGUCAAGUAAAAAACCUUUAGGAAGUUCAUCACAUGGAAUUUGGAACUCCUGAGUUCAAGACUAGGUAUCUUUCACAGGUGGCACUGAGAACUCGGGAGCUGAUUUGAUUUAGGGCCAUCAUAAAGGCUCCCAAAAAGAGCCUCUUUUGCCUUUGGCUUCUGGAUUCAUACAUUCAGGUUUUAAUGGGAAAAACAACAUAGACAAAGCCAGAUUUCAUCCCACUUGGUUUGAGAACGUGGACCAUAUGCAUUGACUUUAGUUCCUUCCUAUUAAUUUCCUUUUUAAAAAUCAUUUUUUAUUGUGACAUAUAACUCAUGUACGGAAAAGUACACCAACCCCAAAUAUAUAGCCCAG